rnacentral:rRNA from 1 species
UGGGGAAUAUUGCACAAUGGGCGAAAGCCUGAUGCAGCAACGCCGCGUGAGUGAUGAAGGCCUUCGGGUUGUAAAAGCUCUGUCUUUUGGGACGAUAAUGACGGUACCAAAGGAGGAAGCCACGGCUAACUACGUGCCAGCAGCCGCGGUAAUACGUAGGUGGCAAGCGUUGUCCGGAUUUACUGGGCGUAAAGGAUGCGUAGGCGGAUUUUUAAGUGAGAUGUGAAAUACCCGGGCUUAACUUGGGUGCUGCAUUUCAAACUGGGAAUCUAGAGUGCGGGAGAGGAGAAUGGAAUUCCUAGUGUAGCGGUGAAAUGCGUAGAGAUUAGGAAGAACACCAGUGGCGAAGGCGAUUCUCUGGACCGUAACUGACGCUGAGGCAUGAAAGCGUGGGUAGCAAACAGGAUUAGAUACCCUGGUAGUCCACGCCGUAAACGAUGAGUACUAGGUGUAGGAGGUAUCGACCCCUUCUGUGCCGCAGUUAACACAAUAAGUACUCCGCCUGGGAAGUACGAUCGCAAGAUUAAAA